UACGUAGGGUGCAAGCGUUGUCCGGAAUUAUUGGGCGUAAAGAGCUCGUAGGCGGUUUGUCGCGUCUGCUGUGAAAACCUAAGGCUCAACCUUGGGCUUGCAGUGGGUACGGGCAGACUAGAGUGCGGUAGGGGUGACUGGAAUUCCUGGUGUAGCGGUGGAAUGCGCAGAUAUCAGGGAGGAACACCGAUGGCGAAGGCAGGUCACUGGGCCGCAACUG
rnacentral:rRNA from 1 species